rnacentral:rRNA from 2 species
GGACGGGUGAGUAAUGCCUAGGAAUCUGCCUGGUAGUGGGGGAUAACGUCCGGAAACGGACGCUAAUACCGCAUACGUCCUACGGGAGAAAGCAGGGGACCUUCGGGCCUUGCGCUAUCAGAUGAGCCUAGGUCGGAUUAGCUAGUUGGUGGGGUAAUGGCUCACCAAGGCGACGAUCCGUAACUGGUCUGAGAGGAUGAUCAGUCACACUGGAACUGAGACACGGUCCAGACUCCUACGGGAGGCAGCAGUGGGGAAUAUUGGACAAUGGGCGAAAGCCUGAUCCAGCCAUGCCGCGUGUGUGAAGAAGGUCUUCGGAUUGUAAAGCACUUUAAGUUGGGAGGAAGGGCAGUAAAUUAAUACUUUGCUGUUUUGACGUUACCGACAGAAUAAGCACCGGCUAACUCUGUGCCAGCAGCCGCGGUAAUACAGAGGGUGCAAGCGUUAAUCGGAAUUACUGGGCGUAAAGCGCGCGUAGGUGGUUCGUUAAGUUGGAUGUGAAAUCCCCGGGCUCAACCUGGGAACUGCAUUCAAAACUGACGAGCUAGAGUAUGGUAGAGGGUGGUGGAAUUUCCUGUGUAGCGGUGAAAUGCGUAGAUAUAGGAAGGAACACCAGUGGCGAAGGCGACCACCUGGACUGAUACUGACACUGAGGUGCGAAAGCGUGGGAGCAAACAGGAUUAGAUACCCUGGUAGUCCAGGCCGUAAACGAUGUCAACUAGCCGUUGGGAGCCUUGAGCUCUUAGUGGCGCAGCUAACGCAUUAAGUUGACCGCCUGGGGAGUACGGCCGCAAGGUUAAAACUCAAAUGAAUUGACGGGGGCCCGCACAAGCGGUGGAGCAUGUGGUUUAAUUCGAAGCAACGCGAAGAACCUUACCAGGCCUUGACAUCCAAUGAACUUUCUAGAGAUAGAUUGGUGCCUUCGGGAACAUUGAGACAGGUGCUGCAUGGCUGUCGUCAGCUCGUGUCGUGAGAUGUUGGGUUAAGUCCCGUAACGAGCGCAACCCUUGUCCUUAGUUACCAGCACGUAAUGGUGGGCACUCUAAGGAGACUGCCGGUGACAAACCGGAGGAAGGUGGGGAUGACGUCAAGUCAUCAUGGCCCUUACGGCCUGGGCUACACACGUGCUACAAUGGUCGGUACAGAGGGUUGCCAAGCCGCGAGGUGGAGCUAAUCCCAGAAAACCGAUCGUAGUCCGGAUCGCAGUCUGCAACUCGACUGCGUGAAGUCGGAAUCGCUAGUAAUCGCGAAUCAGAAUGUCGCGGUGAAUACGUUCCCGGGCCUUGUACACACCGCCCGUCACACCAUGGGAGUGGGUUGCACCAGAAGUAGCUAGUCUAACCU